GUUCUAGGCGCUUGAAGAUACAAAGAGGAGCAAAACAGACAAAAACUCCUGCCCUCUUGGACCUCACUUGCUAAAGGGGAGACAGAGAGGAAACAGAAGAGACUGAAAAAUAUACAUCGUACAGUGGUGUCGGACGUUGGCAGGGAGCAGCUAGUGACAGAUCCCUGAGAAUGGAACACACCUGGAAGUUUCGAGCAAUGGCAAGUGCGCUGGCUAGAGCACCAAGAGUGACCUGUCGAGCGGGUGAGGCAGUGAGGCCACAGGAUCUUACCAGAGGCGCUCAACAGUUUGGGUUGUCAAGACAAGUCAGGGGCAGCAACCAAUCAGCUCCUCGUAUUAAACAGCAUAUUUUGCUGAGCUGGAUUUGACUCCUGGUUGCUACAAAACAAAUCUAAGUUUAUAUCAGAGGUGACAAACUCCAUGCCCUGUCAUUUAUCCUUUUUAUAGCAUGGGCGACACCAAUGGUCAGCAAGUCUUGUUGAUGAGCAUGUGAAUCAAGUAGAGCAGAAAGCAUCCCAAGUCUAGAGGUUUCCUCUGUCAAUAGGUAGAAAUUGUUUGUUUUAAUUAAAAGAGAACUAAUUUAAAAACAAAUUC